rnacentral:tRNA from 1 species
GCGCCUGUGGCCCAAUGGAUAGGGCAUCAGCCUCCGAAGCUGUUGGUACAGGUUCGACUCCUGUCAGGCGCACCA